rnacentral:tRNA from 1 species
GGGGGUGUAGCUCAGUUGGUAGAGCGUCCGUUUUGCACGCGGAAGGCCAGCGGUUCAACUCCGCUCAUCUCCACCA